rnacentral:tmRNA from 2 species
UAACUUUUUUUUUCCUCUUUCGCGCCCUAUAUUAGAGGUGUCGGAUUCGUUCGACUAUGGCGAUAAACUGUCAUCGUAAUAAGCUCAUCGGACCCGGGGGCAGUACCCGGCGCCUCCACCAAAGCCCGCAACUUAGCGGUAUGCUCUUACAGAACUGUUGUGCUGCGGGCUUUGGCGGGGGCGAAAUAGGAUCGACGAGGGUGUAAAGGGUGGUCUUUCGCUCGGCAUGAUACCACCGUUAUCGGGUCAUCUUAAUAGUUGCAAACGACAACUAUGCUGAGCCACAAGCCGUAGCUGCUUAAGCAACGUCUAAAGCUCAAAUAAAGUCCUUGGAAACUAAGCACUUCCAAGGCGGGGUUUGGCUGGCACCUGGCAACAGAAGCCAGCCUU